GCGAAUUCCCUUCAGUUAUAAAGGACUUUAAUUCUGGCGCCACUAGGGGGCACUCUUAGACUAGUGUAGAGCAGGCCUUUUCAGGCAAUAAGUUAGACAGCUCUGAGGGGUCCUUAGCACACGGUGUUCAUCUGCAGCAGCUAGAUAGAAGCUUCUUUGUGUUUCUCUACUGAAAGAGUUCAGUUCAUGCGUUCGUGAAGAGGUUAGUUACUAGUUUCUGCAUCUUUAUCUCCAUAUAUUUCUGUUGUGGUGUUAUUUGAAGCUGUUUUAGUUAAACAAUACAGUUAAAUACAGCGAACUAUAUACAACACUAGUUCAGAUAUUAUAUAAGCUCAGCGGCAGAGAUGUAAAAUGCACUACUGUCUAGUUUAAUGUGUGAUUUUAGCAAUAUUAUUCAGUAUGUGUAAUUAAGUAAGCUAAUUCAUGAGAAUGUUUGUAUAUUUCAUGUACUUAGUGAAUCUAUCUGUUAUUCCAGAUAACCAUGCCACUGUAACUCUGUACACUCCUGCUGAGCUGCAAUUCAUAUAAAGAGCACAAACUGCAUUCCCUGUCUCAGUGUCUACUCUCUUAUCGGAGUGCUAAGGUGGAUGAGGAGUCCCAGCAUAACUGCACUAAUUUACUAACGAGCUAUCUAACAACUGGUCCUUCGAGCCGGAUUUCUUCACCCACUGGGCAUUAUGACAGAGCAGGGAGCAGCAGAAGUUCACUACAAUGUCUCUUCAGGAGAUAAGAGGAGCAGGCACCUUCCAGCAUAUUUGCAACAAUACCAAGUGACAUUACCUCCUUCCUUGGUGACAUCUUCGAACCCACUCGACUUUCAUGGUUCCAAGAGCAAUGUCCAGAGGGUGAGUACACCCAGGCUGCAGUCAUCCAACGUUCCAUCCGAGUCUGUUACAGUGGAUUACCAGCCAAGUGUAGUGUUACUCCCCCCAUCUGGGUCAGCUCAGCCAAGGAGUGGUCAAGAGAUAAAUCAAUGGGAUUGUCAUGCAGAUAGCCAGAAUCUCUCCUUCCAAAUGAAUAAGUCUCUGAGCCUCAGUGAACAUUCGCUUGAUCUGCAAAGUCACCAUAGCAAUAACGGGGAAAUUGGAGAUGAGAGUGAUGGGGACUGUAGCUCAAUUCUAAGCAGAUCAGCAUCUCAUAUUUCUCAUCAUGCCCAAUCUCAAGAGCCAAGUGUAACCUUGCAACACAAUGUCCACUCCCCAACGUUAGGUGCUCAAGCAGAGAUGUUGCCACAUUGCACCCUGACUCAAGCACUACCUCAGUCUGUUUCAUCCACGAUACCUCUCAUGACCCAUACUGGUCAACCUGCCAGUUUUGGUGGUGGUCAGCCUCUCUCAUUUCCUCCAUGUAUGCCUAUCCACCAAAUGUAUCAGCCUUUAAUGCAGAACCAGCAGACAUUUCAGCCUAGACCUGCAAACCAAGCAUGUGCAGUCUAUCAGACAGCUAUGGUGUCCGUAGCACCGACAGUAUACCAGCCACCUUCUAUCCCAGCUGUACCAGCACACCAGCCAGUUACACCAGGGAUAACAUCACAACUGUAUCAGCCUCAGUCUGUGGGAGCAAGCUAUUCAGCCUAUCCAUACUCAACUGUAUUUACUCCACAGCCAGUAUAUCAACCAAACAGCACUCCAUUAUCUCAACCAUCUCAGCUUCUCUACCCAAGCUCAUUUCCUCAGGUGCAUCAGCCCCCACAUGUGCCACUCGCUCAGCCUGCAUAUCAAGCACCAGCAGCACCACCUGCAUCAGUGACCUAUCAGUUAGCCCCUCCUGUUAGGCCAGUUCAGUCUUCAUCACCAAACAUGUUCCAGCAUUUAGCUACAGCACCAGCUCUGUCACCAGCCCAACCAUGGACACAGCCUGUGCCAGUGCCAAAACUUCCUAAGCUUGAGCAUGACAGUGAAAGGGAAUUCACAGAUUUAAAGAUGGCCCUGGACUGCCUAUUAAAUCCACAUCCUGAGCUCACCGAAUACUACAAAUACAGAGUGCUCAUGGAACAUCUUAUCCUGGAUGAAGCUCGCAUGAUAGCUCAAUCUUGUCGGCAUUAUGCUCAACCUUAUACCACUGCAAUGCAAGCUUUACAGCGACAGUAUGGUCAACCACACCAACUCGCUCAGAGCGAAAUUGCUGCUAUCCUGAAUGCUCCUGAUGUGAAGGCUGGGGAUGCCAAGGCCUUUCAGAGUUUUGCACUCAAGGUGAAUCUGCUCGUGGGGAUGCUGACAUCACUUGAAGGCCCCAGAGGGCUAGAACUUACAUCGACUGGACACGUAGAUCGGCUCCUGAGUAAAAUCCCUAAGUACUUACGGGACAGCUUCGUGGAGCAUCUGCAAGUACAAGGUCGUCUGUUGACUGACAGCUUGAACCCUUACAGCUUGAGAGAUCUAGCAGAGUGGCUCACAGUGAAAGCCGAAGCCCAACGACUCUCAUCCAAGAUGGCACAACGCUACCAGACAGACAAAUCUGAGCCCAAGAAAGAUAAACAGUCUACGUCAAGACCAAGAGGCCAAGCUGUAGCUAUCUAUCAUGGGUCUGACAAAUUAAACACUGCCAGCACUCAGCCCAUUGAAUCUGCCCCACCAAGCAUCAAGCAGAAACCGACCAAACGCUUGUGUCUGUUCUGUAAGAGCAAUGAACACUACCUCUCACAGUGUACUAAUAUUACAUCCUGUACCACUGACCAGGUAGAAGCUUGGAUCACCAAGGGUAAAAGGUGCCGCAGAUGUGGUCGCACAAGUCAUGGGCCUGAAGCAUGCACUUUGAAGAAGGCCUGCAGUGAGUGCCAAGAGACUCAUCUAAAGGUUCUACAUGGUAUCGCUCAGCCAAGCCCUGGCAUGUAUCUUGUUACCCCAGUGGAGAGAGCUUCGCUUACCCCAGUAAACCAAACUGGUAAAGUCUUUCUGAAAGUUGUACCAGUCAUCAUAAGGUAUGAAGGCCGGUCACUGCAGACCCAUGCCAUUCUGGAUGACGGAGCCGAGCGAACAAUCAUCCUACCUGCAGCUGUACAGCACUUAGGCCUCGAAGGCAAAACUGAAUCAUUAGCUCUCAGAACAGUUCGCCAUGAUGUAGCUCACCUUACUGGCUCAUCUGUCAACUUUUAUGUGUCCUCUCUGGCCAAGCCCAACAAGCAGCAUCUCAUCCGCAGUGCCUUCACAGCAAGCCGCCUAGCUCUGGCUGAUCAAGCAUACCCAGUGACAGCUCUCCAGAAGCGGUAUCGCCACCUUAGGGGGAUCCCAAUACAGCCCUUUGACAAGGCUCAUCCACUUCUCCUUAUUGGAGCAGACCACACACACUUGAUCGCAGCCAAGGCACCAGUUACACAAGGCAUCAAUGGUGGACCAGCCGCUAUCCACACCGAACUUGGAUGGGCUCUUCAGGGUCCCGAUGGACUCCCAUCUCAUGAAGUGCAGCCAUCCACAUGCUACUUCACCUCACUCAGACCAGCUCCUGAUGAUCUCUAUCAGCAUGUAGAACGUCUCUGGCAGCUUGAUGUACUGCCUUUCCGGAGUGAGAAGUUGGCUGUCCGAUCUAAACAAGACCAACAAGCGGUGGAUAUGCUAGAGUCACACACCACCAGAGUAAACAUUGGGGGUGUACUAAGGUAUGCCACACCCUUAAUUCGUGCUAAAGGAGCACCAGAACUGAAGACUACAGUGGAUGCAGUCUUGCCAUCUCUUCGAAGUUCCGAGAGAAGGCUGGCCAAAGACCCUGUCAAAGCACAAAUCUAUGAGUCUGAGAUACAGAAACUCAUCGAUGGAGGAUGUGUGAACCGACUCAACCCAGAAGAGGUGGAUCAAACAAGUGAGUCUUGGUUCAUACCACAUCACCUUGUCCAACAUAAUGGCAAACACAGACUAGUGUUUAACUGCUCAUUCUCCUAUCAAGGCCUCUCACUCAAUGAACAGCUCCUCCCUGGCCCCAUCCUCGGACCAUCGCUCAUUGGGGUCAUCUUGCGGUUUCGGCAGUACCCGGUGGCCAUAAGUGGAGACAUAAAGGCUAUGUUUCACCAGGUACGCCUCCUGCCUGGAGAUCAGCCCCUGUUGAGGUUCGCAUGGAGGAAUCUACGAAAGGAAGAUGCUCCAGAUGUGUACCAAUGGCAAGUCUUGCCAUUUGGUACUACUUGCAGCCCAUGCUGCGCAAUCUUUGCAUUACAAAAGCAUAUCAGAGACCAUGUGGACCAGGAGGACACUGUAAAGUCGAUAGAGCAGUCGUUUUAUGUGGACAACUGUUUGAAGUCUCUCCCAACAACAGAGGAAGCAAAGAGCCUGGUGGACAAGAUGUGUCAAGUUCUCGCUGAAGGAGGGUUCGAGAUUAGACAGUGGGCAAGCAACGACCCCGAGGCUAUCAACCAUCUGCCUUCAUCUGCGAGGUCAGAGAGCACUGAAUUAUGGCUUACAGAGAAGCACACAGAUCCACAAGAACCUGCAUUAGGGUUGAGCUGGCAUUGCAUCACUGAUCAGCUUGGGUACAAGGUGAGACCGCUGGAGCCACAACUCCCCACCAUGAGAACUAUAUACAGAGUUCUUGCUAGUCAAUAUGAUCCCCUGGGUGUGAUCAUUCCCUAUACAACACGAGCCAAGGUCAUUGUUCAGAGGCUGUGGGCAAAGAAACGAAGCUGGGAUGAUCCAAACCUUCCAGCAGAACUGUUGGAGGCAUGGACCACCUGGGAGAAUGAACUCCCCAAGCUAAAGGACAUAGUCUUGCCUCGAUCAUUCGCUCCUCCAACCCAGGGCACCCAAGUCUCAGAGUAUACGCUGCAUAUCUUCUCUGACUCUUCUGAACAGGCAUAUGGGUCAGUGGCCUAUUUGACCACAGAACUCGAAGGUCAAGUUUUCACUUCCUUUGUAAUGGCCAGGUCCAGGGUGGCGCCCAAACGUCAGCUCUCAAUGCCGAGGCUCGAAUUGCGUGCUGCGCUCACAGGAGCCCAACUCUCUGCUCUUAUUCACCGAGAGCUGACCCUGAACAUUACCAAGACCUUUCUCUGGUCCGACUCUACCACAGUGCUUAGCUGGCUCAAAUCGGAGUCGUGCCGAUUUAAAGUCUUCGUAGGCACCAGGGUCUCAGAGAUACAGGAGCUUACUCAGCCCCAUGAAUGGAGGUAUGUCAAUUCAGCAAACAAUCCCGCAGAUGACAUCACACGGGGCAAGCCCUUAGCAGAUCUUGGCCCACAGAGCCGCUGGAUUAAGGGGCCUUCAUUCCUUCAUGAGCCCCCUGAAAAAUGGCCUCAAGUUCCCAUCUCUAGCAACCUGGAGAACUCGGACGAGUUAAAGCAGAGUGCUUUCUGUGGUCUCUCCACGACUAACUCAGCAACAGCGAUUCCUGACCCCACACAGUUCACCACAUGGUCUGAAUUGGUAGCAGCCACAAAACAAGCCUUACAUGGAGCAGAGUCUGAUCCUGCUUCACCUCCAUUGGAUCUGCAUGAUGUUGAAAAACACAUCCUGAGAACCAGCCAAACUGACAGUUUUCCAGAGGAAGUUAGAUUGCUUAAAGCACACAAGCCUGUUUCACCCAGUAGCCGAUUAAGCACACUCUCUCCUGAAUGGGAUGCAGAAACUGGUCUUGUCAGAGUUGGGGGUCGUCUUCGCCAUCUGGAGAACCCUGACCUAUCAGACAUCCAUCCAGUGGUCCUAGACCCUCAGCAUCCUGUAACCCAACUCCUAAUUAAGGAUGUAGAUGUUCGUUUGCUUCAUCCUGGGCCUGAUCGCGUGUUUGCUGAGCUAAGACGCCAAUACUGGAUACUUCGAGGAAGACAAGCAGUAAGGCAUCAUCAGAGAACCUGUAUUGGCUGCAGAAGAUGGAGAGGGCGACCAACUGUGCCCAUAAUGGCAGAUCUGCCACCAGCUCGCCUACGGCUGUUUAAACCACCUUUCUACUCGACCGGAGUCGACUGUUUUGGCCCGUACCUGGUAAAGGUGGGACGGCGACAGGAAAAGCGCUGGGGAGUGAUAUUUAAAUGCCUCACUACUCGAUCUGUCCACUUGGAUCUGCUGAACAGUCUGGAUGCAGACGCUUUCCUCCUCGCAUUAAGGCGUUUCAUAGCACGACGUGGUACUCCCUGUGAGAUCUUAUCCGAUCAGGGUACCAAUUUCAAAGGUGCAGAGACAGAACUGAAGGAGGCAUUUUCAUCAAUGGAACCGCAGCUGCGGAAAAGCCUAGAGGAGCGGCAAAUCAGCUUCAGAUUCAACCCCCCUGGAUCUCCUCAUUUUGGAGGAAUUUGGGAGCGGGAGAUCCGAUCAGUUAAGAGAGCUUUGCAGGUCGUGGUGGGAGCCCAAGUAGUUUCUGAGGAUGUUCUGCUCACCGUCCUAGUUGAGGUAGAGGGGAUACUCAACUCAAAGCCUCUCGGAUAUGUCUCCUCGGACAUAGCAGACCCUGACCCAGUGACGCCGAAUAUGUUGUUGAUGGGGCGGCGGGACGCCUCACUUCCCCAGGUGUGUUAUGCCUUGGAUUCCCUGACCAAGAGGCGAUGGCGUCACAGUCAAAUGAUGGCAGACCACUUCUGGUCCCAGUUUACACGAAACUAUCUGCCAUCCCUGCAGGUGCGACAGAAAUGGCAGAAAGCCUGCGAUAACCUCGCUCCAGAUACUGUGGUGAUGAUUGUUGAUUCCCAGCUGCCACGUGCCUGUUGGCCGAUCGGAAAAGUGGUCAAGCUGAAUGUUAGUGCUGAUGGAAAUGUCAGAUCAGCUGAAAUCAGAGUGAAGGAUAAGGUCUACAUGCGUCCAGUGGCCCGUCUAGUUCAGCUGCCAUCUAUUCAGGAUGACGAUCCUGCAUCUGCUGAAACUUCAGGAAAUUCUUAGACUUUACAUAAUAGCCAGGCUAUUCUGGGGGCGGCUGUUGCGAAUUCCCUUCAGUUAUAAAGGACUUUAAUUCUGGCGCCACUAGGGGGCACUCUUAGACUAGUGUAGAGCAGGCCUUUUCAGGCAAUAAGUUAGACAGCUCUGAGGGGUCCUUAGCACACGGUGUUCAUCUGCAGCAGCUAGAUAGAAGCUUCUUUGUGUUUCUCUACUGAAAGAGUUCAGUUCAUGCGUUCGUGAAGAGAUAACCAUGCCACUGUAACUCUGUACACUCCUGCUGAGCUGCAAUUCAUAUAAAGAGCACAAACUGCA